CUUGCUACGAAGAGAGCAUGAACCUGGAACCAAGUCCGUGAGAAUGUUUUCUCUCCUGUUGUCCUUCCCUCGGGUUUGGGACCUGCUGGCAGGAUCCUGACUUUGCGGCUCGAGACAAUAAGUCGCAAGGAGCUACUGCACUCCUUUUUUCUAAAGUAAGGAAGAAAUACAUGAGGGUACAGGCCAGAGGAAUGACACCUGAGAGUUGAGAGUCCCUGUCGCUCUGCUAGACCAGCCCCUGGGCGGCUGCUGAAGAGAGGCUGGCCCCCAGCGCCUCCAAGGCAAAGAAUGGGAACCUGCUUCUCCCUUGGGGAGGGAGCAGUUAAGGUUUAAUAACUUCAAGGCAUACCAAUGGUGAGCUUUGAACAGCGUCAUUUGAAAGGUUUCUUUUUCCUCUAAAUAUUUUUGCCAAAGUUGAAGGGUAAACUUUCCAUUUUGCUUUUCCUUCAGUCGGCUUUUGCCCCCUUCCCAGCAGGAGCCUUACAGAAGGGAGACAAAUUAGUUCUCCAGAGCAAUUGGAAAAGACAGAUUUUCCCAAACCCACCUCGCCCCAACCCCUUCGAGCGUUUGAGCUGCUCUUAGAGUGUCCUGCACCUCCCCUGGGCGGGGCUGAGACUUUGGAACUUGCGGAUUCCGGACACUUCCCCUAACAGCUUGCCUUCAAGCCCUGGGGAAACUACAGACACCGGUUGGUGGGGGGAAGGCGCCCUUCCCCAGGCCCAGAGAGCUUUGCUUUACAACAGCGGGCGCAGUGAGGAUCCAGCUGAUCACUGCGCAGAUCCAAUUGAUCUCAAUCAGGUAGAAUCUUUUCUGCUGGCGUUCGGCCUUUGCCAGAUCAGAGAAAACCCAGCACUCAGGAGGAUGAGGCAGGAAAAUUGCCACGACUUCGAGGCCAUCCUGCACUACAUAGUGAGUUCAAGACCAGCCCAUACUACACAGCAAGACACUGUCUCAAAAAACUUUUUUUAAAAAGGAAUCAGAGAAAAAUAAAACCAGAAGAAUACUAACUUAACCUAAAUGGAAUUAAGGGAAGAAAUACAGCGUAGUACUAUGAAAUAAUAGAUGCACUUCUUUGGCUGACACAUUUAGCUAAAAUGUCAAAUAAACAUUUUCACUAAAAUUUUUACUUUUUAAAAAAGUAACAGAUCAACAUUAAAAUUCAAUGAUCUAAUCUAAUAAUUUACUGUAUGACAAGGUUCCCAGGCUGGACUCAAACUUCAGAUCUUCCUGCUUCAGCCUCCCUCCUCUGAGCUGGGAUUACUGGUGUAUGCUCUGGCACCUGGUUUAAAUCACCGUUUUUAGAAGUCAGUUAAAUAUUAUAACCCCAGCAGCCCACAAACUAAAUAGAAAAUAUUGUAGAAAGAAAUUAAAAAUAGGUCCAAGAGACUAAGGAUGGUGUAGGAGUAUAAGUAGAAUAAUCCCCAUGUACAGGAUAUGUCAUGUACAGGAUCCUAAUAACCCCAAUAAAUGUAAACAUUAUAUGCCAGAAACAUGAGCUAAAUUUACUAAUAUCAACAAGAAUGAAAAUGGGGAAAGGGGAAUUAGAGGAGGGUAGGAGGGGAAGGAGAUUUAAAAGAAAAAAGCUGUAUAGUAUUAUGUACAUGUACACAAGAUGAUUAUAAACUGCAUUACUACAAAAUGUACUAAUAAAGUAUAUUAAUGAAUCUUUUUAGUGCAAUUUCUGCACCCUAGGAAAAUAAAAACAUCCUUGAGUAUCACAGA
ensembl:lincRNA